rnacentral:rRNA from 1 species
CUGAACGCGAAGAACCUUACCAGGUCUUGACAUCCUCUGACACUCCUAGAGAUAGGAUUCUUCCCCUUCGGGGGACAGAGUGACAGGUCGGUGCAUGGUUGUCGUCAGCUCGUGUCGUGAGAUGUUGGGUUAAGUCCCGCAACGAGCGCAACCCUUGAUCUUAGUUGCCAGCGUUCAGUUGGGCACUCUAAGGUGACUGCCGGUGACAAACCGGAGGAAGGUGGGGAUGACGUCAAAUCAUCAUGCCCCUUAUGACGUGGGCUACACACGUGCUACAAUGGAUGGUACAAAGGGCAGCGAAGCCGCGAGGUGGAGCCAAUCCCAUAAAACCAUUCUCAGUUCGGAUUGCAGGCUGCAACUCGCCUGCAUGAAGCCGGAAUCGCGUAGUAAUCGCGGAUCAGCAUGCCGCGGUGAAUACGUUCCCGGGUCUUGUACACACGCA